rnacentral:rRNA from 1 species
GCAGAGGACUCCUUACGGGAGGCAGCAGUGGGGAAUAUUGCACAAUGGGCGCAAGCCUGAUGCAGCCAUGCCGCGUGUAUGAAGAAGGCCUUCGGGUUGUAAAGUACUUUCAGCAGUGAGGAAGGUGGGUAUGUUAAUAGCAUAUUCAUUUGACGUUAGCUGCAGAAGAAGCACCGGCUAACUCCGUGCCAGCAGCCGCGGUAAUACGGAGGGUGCGAGCGUUAAUCGGAAUUACUGGGCGUAAAGCGCAUGCAGGUGGUUUGUUAAGUCAGAUGUGAAAGCCCGGGGCUCAACCUCGGAAUUGCAUUUGAAACUGGCAAACUAGAGUACUGUAGAGGGGGUAGAAUUUCAGGUGUAGCGGUGAAAUGCGUAGAGAUCUGAAGGAAUACCGGUGGCGAAGGCGGCCCCCUGGACAGAUACUGACACUCAGAUGCGAAAGCGUGGGGAGCAAACAGGAUUAGAUACCCUGGUAG